AAUUAAAUAACCGGAUUGAUAAGAUGCUUGAAUUGGGAUUGGUUAAAGAACUACUCUUCAUAUGGAAGAAUUUUGUGGUUUUUUCAGGAACUAGCGGAUUGCCUUUAAAAGAAUAUUACAGGAAAUUUAAAGACAUGAACAGCAGUGAAAAAUCAUGCGCUUCUCACCUGGAUGAGUUGAUCCUUUUUGUUAAAAAUUGCUUAGUGUUUAAUUGCGGCGCGCUGCAGAGUAUUGGCUUCAAAGAAAUGAGUCCGUUUAUUGGCUUCUGUAAGUUUUUAGAGGAAACCCAGGAAGACGAUCCUUUAGGAAAGACGCUUCUUUUUAAUCGUUGUUUGCAGCGUAUGAAAGCAGCUACUAGAAGGUACGCUCGAAAACAACGUUCAUGGCUUCUAAGGCGCUUUAUAUUCGCAUGUGAUCUUAUGCACUUUGAUGACUCGAAUGGAAUAUUUAAAAAUAAAAGAGACGAAGUCCGCCCCCUAAAAGAAAGUAACAAGAAAUGUUUACUUUACAUUAUUGAUGCUCUGCCCCGAGAAAACCUUUUGAAAGUUGGUUUUGAGAUUGUUCGCACGUUUCUAACCAACUCAGAAGCAGAAUUAUUGUUGCCUUUUGCCGAUUUUCUGAAGAAACUUAAUGUAUUUAAACUUUUAGAAAUGAGGAAGGCCACAAACUUUUUAGAGUUGUGG